rnacentral:rRNA from 1 species
GACGAACGCUGGCGGCGUGCUUAACACAUGCAAGUCGAACGGACAGGCCCGGCUUUUGUGGGGUGCUCGAGUGACGAACGGGUGAGUAACACGUGAGUAACCUGUCCUUGACUGUGGGAUAACUUCAGGAAACUGGGGCUAAUACCGGGUAGGAUCUCUUGCUGCAUGGUGGGGGUUGGAAAGUUUCGGUGGUUGGGGAUGGACUCGCGGCUUAUCAGCUUGUUGGUGGGGUAGUGGCUUACCAAGGCUUUGACGGGUAGCCGGCCUGAGAGGGUGACCGGCCCCAUUCGGACUGAGGUACGGCCCAGACUCCUACGGGCGGCAGCAGUGGGGAAUAUUGCACAAUGGGCGGAAGCCUGAUGCAGCAACGCCGCGUGCGGGAAGACGGCCUUCGGGUUGUAACCCGCUUUCGCCUGUGACGAAGCGUGAGUGACGGUAAUGGGUAAAGAAGCACCGGCUAACUACGU